rnacentral:snRNA from 1 species
UUGCUUCAGUAGCACAUACACUAAAAUUGGAAUGAUAGAGAUUAGCAUGGCCCCUGCACAAGGAUGACGCAAAUUCGUGACGCAGCCUGUAUUUUU